rnacentral:rRNA from 1 species
UACGGAGGGGGCGAGCGUUAUUCGGAAUUAUUGGGCGUAAAGGGCGCGUAGGCGGCUCCGCAAGUCUGGCGUGAAAUCUCCACAGCUCACCUGGGAGAGGUCGCUGGAAACUGCGGAGCUUGAGGUCCGGAGAGGCCGAUGGAAUUCCCGGUGUAGCGGUGGAAUGCGUAGAUAUCGGGAAGAACACCUGUGGCGAAGGCGGUCGGCUGGACGGCACCUGACGCUGAGGCGCGAAAGUGUGGGGAGCGAACGGG